rnacentral:lncRNA from 1 species
GCCAUCGUGGACCCCCUGGUGGCCCUGGCCUGGCUGCAUGUGCUUCAUGGGCAGAGCCUGGUGGCCCUGAACAUCCUGCAGUCUGUCCAGGAUGCAGUGGUGGUCAGCGAGGACCAGGAGGGUGUGAUUUCCAACAUUGGUGGCCGUGGCUCUGAAGAGGACGGGACGGACGAGGCAGGCAGCCGAGGGCUACUACCACGCCCUAUGGGUGGCUUGGGACCUGGGCCAGCGGAGGAACCAGGCAGUGUUGCUGGCCAACUUUGGCACCUUGUGCCUGCACGCGGGUGCCAGCAGGCUGGCCCAGCACUACCUCCUGGAGGCUGUACGUCUGUUCUCGAGGCUUCCCUGUGGGGAGUGUGGCCGGGACUUCACCCACAUACUCCUGGGCUACCUCUUCACCCGCCAGGGCCCGGCCCAGCAGUGCAAGGGCUACUACGAGUGGGCCCUUCUGGUCGCCGUGGAGAUGGACCACGUGGAGAAAAAUCAGAAGCUUUCCACCGUUCCCAGCGCCCUGGCUUUGGGAGAGGCCAGCGAGCCUGUGGGUUUGGAGCCUGGUUGCAUGAGAGAAGCAUGUGUGGAAAUGCCAGGGGCCGGCUUUGAACCCCAUUCCCCCAACAUGAUGCCAUGUGUGGCAGACAUGACGCUUGGCUUUGCUCUCUCAGGGUUCCAUCUGCGACAGGGGCUACUUGUGCCCCUGGUCUCAUCAUCUCAGGCUGAAGACGGCCCUGGUCCUGGCCAGAGGGGCUUUGUGAAGCAGAAAUAGAUGGCCUGGUGCAGGGGCCGAGCCUGGCCAGGACCUUGGCCCUGGGAGUUGUAAAGAAGGCCAGCCUGUACCAUGAACAUGUGCACCAAGCUGUGCCCAUGUCACGGUGUGCUCGGCGCCUGCCCUUGCACAGGUGCAUGGCCUGUCUGAGCCCAGGCUCCCCGCCUAUGGGGCCCAGGUUCACAGAGGUGUGAAAGAGACAAGCACAGAGCAGGGGCCUCCGAACCCAGCCAGCCUCGCUUCGAUGCUGGGAGGCUGACGUCUUCCAUUUUGUCUUCUGCCCAGGCCAGCUGCGGGCCGUCCAGCGGCUGUGCUACUUCUACAGCGUCGUCAUGCCCAGCGAGACCCAGUGUGUCAUCUACCACGAGUUCCAGCUCUCCCUUGCCCGCAAGGUGGCCGACAAGGUGCUGGAGGGGGCAGCUCCUGGAGACCACCAGUCAGC